UAGGGAAUCUUCGGCAAUGGGGGGAACCCUGACCGAGCAACGCCGCGUGAGUGAAGAAGGUUUUCGGAUCGUAAAGCUCUGUUGUUAAGGAAGAACGAGUGUGAGAAUGGAAAGUUCAUGCUGUGACGGUACUUAACCAGAAAGGGACGGCUAACUACGUGCCAGCAGCCGCGGUAAUACGUAGGUCCCGAGCGUUGUCCGGAUUUAUUGGGCGUAAAGCGAGCGCAGGCGGUUAGAAAAGUCUGAAGUGAAAGGCAGUGGCUCAACCAUUGUAGGCUUUGGAAACUGUCUAACUUGAGUGCAGAAGGGGCGAGUGGAAUUCCAUGUGUAGCGGUGAAAUGCGUAGAUAUAUGGAGGAACACCGGUGGCGAAAGCGGCUCUCUGGUCUGUAACUGACGCUGAGGCUCGAAAGCGUGGGGAGCGAACAGG
rnacentral:rRNA from 1 species